rnacentral:rRNA from 1 species
GACGGAGGAUGCAAGCGUUAUCCGGAAUGAUUGGGCGUAAAGCGUUCGCAGGCGGCUGUUCAAGUCUGCUGUCAAAGACCGGGGCUUAACCCUAGAAAGGCAGUGGAAACUGGACGGCUGGAGUGCAGAAUGUGUAGAGGGAAUUCCCAGUGUAGCGGUUAAAUGCGUAGAGAUUGGGAAGAACACCGGUGGCGAAAGCGGUCUGCUGGACUGCAACUGACACUGAGGGACGAAAGCGUGGGGAGCGAAAGGG